UAGACAAAGAAAGGGACUAGGGUUAUCGGAGCGACACGUCGGAGAGAAGACGUGGUGAGUGGGGUCUCUGGAAGCAUGAUUCUGACGGACACGUCAGCGCAUGGCAUUCCUUCUUCAUUCUUAUUUUGUGUUGCUAUAUAUCAUCAUCAUCAUGAGUUUGGGUUUGGUUUCUUUGUUGUGUGUCUCCGCCCCUGGCCCCUGGCCCCUGCUUGAUUUCCAAUUCGAUUUAGGGAUUCCCUGCGCAGAGAUUAACCUCAUUCUCUCAUUCUCUGCGCUCCCAAAUCUAAUUCAAUCCAAUGUCUAUCCCCGAUUCUCCCUUCGCCGAAGAUGUCGAAAUCGAUCCAUCCCUUGACGACGACGACGAAGAAGAAGAAGAAACAGAGGAGGAGGAGGAGGAGGAGGAAGAAGUCGAAGAGGAGGAGGUCGAGGAAGAAGAAGAAGUGGAGGAGGAAGAAGUAGAAGAGGAAGAGGUUGAGGAAGAACUGGAAGAGGAGGAAGUAGAAGAGAUAGAGGUGGAGGAAGAACUGGAAGAGGAGGAAGUAGAAGAGAUAGAGGUGGAGGAAGAACUGGAAGAGGAGGUAGUAGAAGAGAUAGAGGUGGAGGAAGAAGAAGAGGAGGGGGAACAAGGAGAAGAACAACAAGUAGAAGAAAUGGAGGAGGAAGAGGAAGAAGAAGUCGAAGAGGAGGAGGUGGAAGAGGAAGAAGAAGAGGAACAACAACAACAGCAGCAAGAAGCAGUGGAGGAGAAGAAGGAAGAGCAACAACAGCAACACCAAGCAGAAGCAGCAAUGGAGGAACAAGAAGAAGUGCCAAUGGAGGAGAAGGAGGAGGACAAACCGGCGGUGCCAGGUUCUCCACUCGAUGCGGAUAAGGAUCGCAAAGAUUACGGCCAACAUAUGGAGUUUGAGGGGCAAGACAAAAACUUGGGACCAGUUUCUUCUGUGGCUGAAAACCCUGAAGUAAUGCCACCAUCUAGUAUGCAUUGCAUGGAAGAGAAUAAUGUCAUGCUCAAAAAAAGUGACAUACCUACAUUGAAAAAGGAAGAGCUUCCCCUGAAAUAUGAAAUUUCAAGUCAUCCAAAAUCAAGAGAAAAUCUGACUUCUGUUGAAGUUUGCAGAAGUCAAGGAUUAGAUGUUGAAGUUGAAAAUGAUGGAUCCCUUCUGCAGAAGAAAACAUUUAGAGGAUACUGUGUGCCAGGUUGCAAUAGCAAAGCUAAUUUAUGUGGUGACAAUAAUAUUGAUUCCAGGGCCAGGGCCACCAAGUCAUCUAGUGAUACUGUACAAGAUAUGGUUAUUGGCCCCCUACCGAGAGAUUGCCUUGUUGAGGAUUCUAAUGGUGGUCAGAAUUCUAGAAACAAAAUCAUGCUGUCGGAGAUGGAGUCAAGGGAUGAUGCGAAACAAAUGACAUCAAGCAGGACUAGAAAUCUGUCUCCCAGUGCUGAGAUUAAAGAUGGAAACAAACGCCCCAGAAUUAUAUGUGAUUUUUUUGCUAAAGGAUGGUGUAUCAGAGGUAGUUCUUGUAGCUUUCUUCAUAUAAAAGAUACUGGGGACAAUACUGACCAGGAAGCUGAAGCAGACUCAGUUUCUACUUAUCAGAAGAGACAAUUGAAAGUGGAAGAAGGUGUUAGGGAAAAUGUUGAGAGAUCCAGGAUGAAUGAGCAAGAAGCAACUCCUAGUUGGCAUCCAUCUCAAGAAAAACAGAAGUUUCCGCCGAGGGACAACUUGUUUCCAGAUAAUAGAUUUCCAUUUAGUGCAUCAGACAAUUAUUUGAGCCCAAAUCUUUCUUUGAAUUCAACCCGUGCAGAUGGAAUGGCUACUCCUCGUAACCAACAUAUGUACAAAGGAUAUACUUCCACACUUUUGAGCCAUUUGCCGAAUUCGAGCCUGGUUACUCAAUUUGCAGCUUCAAGUAUGUCACUCUCCCACCGGAUUCUAGCUCAAUCAGGACGUUCGCUGCCUUUUAGUUCAUCUUUAGGGGCUAGUAAUGUGGAUUCUCUAAAGUUUUUGAACACUGACAAAGAAUAUCUCACAUCUAAGUCCACUUUCUCUGGUUCAGGGCGGGAAGAUUUUUCUCUUGUUAGUUCGUCUAGGGUUCCAUCAUAUCCUGCUGGAUAUAAAUCAAAAAUCUGUUCUUAUGAUUGGGAACCUUCUGUUCCCUUUCGACCAUCUUUUUUUAUUACUUCUAUGAAUGUAUCAUCUCCUGGAGAUCUUUAUGACCCUCUUCGUGAUAGCAUUGAGAUACCUAAUAUAGGAGAUGGGUCUUUGAAGGCUUCCCUUUUAAUUCAUGGAUCAAAUGUGCAGGCUUCAUCACAGGUUCGGACAUAUGGUGAUUCUGCUGUAGUUGGGAAACACAUGUCCAAUUUUAAUGAUGACAAAAGUUCUGUAUCUUCUCAUAAUAAAUUUUGUGAAAAUGAGCCAAAUAAAAAUUGUCUUCCUCAUGAAAAAGAUUGUCUUCCACCUGAAACAGAGAUAACAUCAGGAACUUAUCAAGGUAAAAUGGGCAUGGGACAACAUACCUUUGGUGUUGCAGAUAGUACAAAAAAUGAGAGAGAUGUGACCGAGUGUGAUGCUAGACGUCAUGGUGAAGGAUCAGGGCAUAAAAAGAAGAGAGUAGACAGGGAUAAGAAAAAUCAUGAAAUGGAUGGCGACUUUCAGAUUGAUGGCAGCAUUCAGAAGGAAUCAAAGGCAUUAAAAUUUUUUCGCGCAGCUCUUGUUGAUCAUGUUAAAGAGUUGUUAAAACCAGCUUGGCACGAGGGUCAUCUUAGCAAGGAUGCACACAUUAUGAUAGUCAAAAAAUCAGUUGACAAGGUUGUUAGCACCUUGGAACCCCAUCAGAUUCCGAUCAUGGAUACUGCUAAGCAAUAUGUUUCUUCAAGUCAGGUGAAAAUUGCAAAGCUGGUCAAUGGAUAUGUCAAUAAAUAUGGCAAAUAUUGAUAUGCAAGCCAAACACCUUUUUUGUAUAGUUUCUGAUCAGUUGGCUGAUCCUAAUUCAUGAAAAGUUCUGUCUGAGGCUCUCUUUUUCAUACAGAAGCUUCUUAUCUUUAUGGAUGACAUAUCUGUGUUACUCUUCAACCAUGGAUAAUGCUAAUGUCAGGAGAAAUUCUGAACUUUUUUCAGUAAGUAAUGAGUUUGAAGAACUGGGUAGAUUUCUGAUCAGAGACUGAUUUGUUUGGAUGGCAAGUGCUUGUGGUUGAAGUCGACCAUUGGAAAUAAGUUGGUCAGCAGGAGUGAUCUUGAUUGGAUUGACAGCAGAAUUCAAGUUUGCUUUAGUGCUGGUAAAUUCAAAUUCUGAGUCAUGCUUGCUUACCUGGUAGUCUUUAGCCCGGUUAGGAGAAGGGAGCUUUGGUUGGUGGUCUUGAAUAGCAACAAGGCCACUAAAAGAGAGCGAGUCCAAUGAAUAUGAAAUGCUAUCAUACGCCACAUGUGAGGUGAGCUUGUCCAUUGAUUUAUAACCAAAAUGGCUAUGUGGGUUGAAAACUUGUAUAUAUAUGCAGAAACCUGCUAGACGCUGGGACCACUUUAAUGCAGUUAGAAUGUGUUCUGCUGAGUUGAAGUUGUUUUGGUUUUAUAUUUUUCUUUUUGUUGUCCGCUUUGUGGUGGAGGGGGUAAAGCCAAUACGCAUAUUGAAUUUUAGGGGGCAUUUCUUGAGAAGUUAACAUGCUAUUAACUUUUCGGUCUCCAAGUUUGAGUAGCCAAUUGAACUGAGUUUGGGUAUGGAGUUUGUCAUCUUUAGUCGAAGUAUUUGUCACAUCUUCCGUUUGGUCAGUAUAUUCAUUGAGGAGUCUGCGUAUGGGUGGAUAUUACGAAGGUAGAGUGUACAUAUAUAAAUAUAUAUUCUUUCUGAAGGUCAUUGUCAAAUCUCAAUCAGCUUAUGAUCCUACGAGGAUGGCAAGUGAUGGUAGAUGAAGAGUGGACAAAUGAUUUGUUAUUUCUUUGCUGUUAAAUCAUCACAGUUAAUACGUUUCCUUGUCGUUUUCUAUUCUUGUUUUUACAUUAACAUGCAGCUACAUUACCGACGUGCGACGGUUGCUGGACACUAGCCCAAGUAGUCAUUGAAGUGUCAUGUUAAUUUUCAUUUUGUAGCAAGUGCAUACUUGCUUUCUUGAAGGGGUACGAGUGUAACUGCGACCCUUGGAUUGAGAAGGAAUCCAAGUUUCGCAAUUAUGCUUGAUUUUAAUCACCGAAUAGAAACAGCUUUGCAUUUUUAUUUUAGAGGUCGACUGGUAAAAGGUACAAUGAAGAAUACUAAGUGACCAGUGUCGAAGUAUGAUGAUAUUGACAACGAAGAGGAAAAGGAAAAUUCUAAUAUUUUUGGAUUUUCUCAUGAUGAUAUGUGAUUUUUCUGCUUAUUUACAAUUUACAAUAUGUGGACUUGAAAGUCCAAAGGUGAAUCAACCUUCAAUUUGUUUCCA